rnacentral:rRNA from 1 species
UACGGGGGGUGCGAGCGUUGUCCGGAUUCACUGGGCGUAAAGGGCGCGUAGGCGGCCCGGUCAGUCGAACUUUUAAGAGCGGGGCUCACCCCCGUGGGGGGUUCGGGACGGCCGGGCUGGGGCGCGGCAGAGGGGUGCGGAAUGCCGGGUGUAGUGGUGAAAUGCGUAGAGAUCCGGCGGAACACCGGUGGUGAAGGCGGCACCCUGGGCCGAGGCCGACGCUGAGGCGCGAGAGCGCGGGGAGCGAACCGG